rnacentral:rRNA from 1 species
GAUGAACGCUGGCGGCGUGCCUAAUACAUGCAAGUCGAGCGAACGGACGAGAAGCUUGCUUCUCUGAUGUUAGCGGCGGACGGGUGGGUAACACGUGGAUAACCUACCUAUAAGACUGGGAUAACUUCGGGAAACCGGAGCUAAUACCGGAUGAUAUUUUGAACCGCAUGGUUCAAAAGUGAAAGACGGUCUUGCUGUCACUUAUAGAUGGAUCCGCGCUGUAUUAGCUAGUUGGUAAGGUAACGGCUUACCAAGGCAGCGAUGCAUAGCCGACCUGAGAGGGUGAUCGGCCACACUGGAACUGAGACACGGUCCAGACUCCUACGGGAGGCAGCAGUAGGGAAUCUUCCGCAAUGGGCGAAAGCCUGACGGAGCAACGCCGCGUGAGUGAUGAAGGUCUUCGGAUCGUAAAACUCUGUUAUUAGGGAAGAACAUAUGUGUAAGUAACUGUGCACAUCUUGACGGUACCUAAUCAGAAAGCCACGGCUAACUACGUG